UACGUAGGGUGCAAGCGUUGUCCGGAAUUAUUGGGCGUAAAGAGCUCGUAGGCGGUCUGUUGCGUCGGCUGUGAAAACCCGGGGCUCAACUCCGGGCCUGCAGCCGAUACGGGCAGACUAGAGGUAGGUAGGGGAGAAUGGAAUUCCCGGUGUAGCGGUGAAAUGCGCAGAUAUCGGGAGGAACACCGGUGGCGAAGGCGGUUCUCUGGGCCGUACCUGACGCUGAGGAGCGAAAGCGUGGGGAGCGAACAGG
rnacentral:rRNA from 1 species